rnacentral:rRNA from 1 species
AUGAAGCUGGAAUCGCUAGUAAUCGCGGAUCAGAAUGCCGCGGUGAAUACGUUCCCGGGUCUUGUACACACCGCCCGUCACACCAUGGGAGUCGGAAAUGCCCGAAGUCUGUGACCUAACCGUAAGGAAGGAGCAGCCGAAGGCAGGUCGGAUGACUGGGGUGAAGUCGUAACAAGGUAUC